rnacentral:rRNA from 1 species
UAACCUGCCCAAGAGAUCGGGAUAACACCUGGAAACAGAUGCUAAUACCGGAUAACAACAGAUGAUGCCUAUCAACUGUUUAAAAGAUGGUUCUGCUAUCACUCUUGGAUGGACCUGCGGUGCAUUAGCUAGUUGGUAGGGUAACGGCCUACCAAGGCGAUGAUGCAUAGCCGAGUUGAGAGACUGAUCGGCCACAUUGGGACUGAGACACGGCCCAAACUCCUACGGGAGGCAGCAGG